rnacentral:misc_RNA from 1 species
GAUGAAGAACGUAGCGAAAUGCGAUAAGUAGUGUGAAUUGCAGAAUUCAGUGAAUCAUCGAAUCUUUGAACGCACAUUGCGCCCCUUGGUAUUCCAUGGGGCAUGCCUGUUCGAGCGUCAUUUGUACCUUCAAGCUUUGCUUGGUGUUGGGUGUUUGUCUCGCCUUUGCGUGUAGACUCGCCUUAAAAUAAUUGGCAGCCGGCGUAUUGAUUUCGGAGCGCAGUACAUCUCGCGCUUUGCACUCAUAACGACAGCGUCCAAAAGUACAUUUUACACUCUUGACCUCUGAUCAGGUAGAGAUACCCGCUGAACUUAAGCAUAUCAAUAAGCGGAGGA